rnacentral:rRNA from 1 species
GAUGAACGCUGGCGGCGUGCCUAAUACAUGCAAGUCGAGCGAACGGACGAGAAGCUUGCUUCUCUGAUGUUAGCGGCGGACGGGUGAGUAACACGUGGAUAACCUACCUAUAAGACUGGGAUAACUUCGGGAAACCGGAGCUAAUACCGGAUGAUAUUUUGAACCGCAUGGUUCAAAAGUGAAAGACGGUCUUGCUGUCACUUAUAGAUGGAUCCGCGCUGCAUUAGCUAGUUGGUAAGGUAACGGCUUACCAAGGCAACGAUGCAUAGCCGACCUGAGAGGGUGAUCGGCCAAACUGGAACUGAGACACGGUCCCGACUCCUACGGGAGGCAGCAGUAGGGAAUCUUACGCAAUGGGCGAAAGCCUGACGGAGCAACGCCGCGUGAGUGAUGAAGGUCUUCGGAUCGUAAAACUCUGUUAUUAGGGAAGAACAUAUGUGUAAGUAACUGUGCACAUCUUGACGGUACCUAAUCAGAAAGCCACGGCUAACUACGUG